GAUGAACGCUGGCGGCGUGCCUAAUACAUGCAAGUCGAGCGAACGGACGAGCAGCUUGCUUCUCUGAUGUUAGCGGCGGAUGGGUGAGUAACACGUGGAUAAUCUAUCUAUAAGACUGGGAUAACUUAGGGAAAUCGGAGCUAAUACCGGAUUAUCUUUUGAACCGCAUGGUUCAAAAGUGAAAGACGGUCUUGCUGUCACUUAUAGAUGGAUCCGCGCUGCAGUAGCUAGUUGGUAAGGUAACGGCUUACCACGGCAACGAUGCAUAGCCGACCUGAGAGGGUGAUCGGCCACACUGGAACUGAGACACGGUCCAGACUCCGACGGGAGGCAGCAGUAGGGAAUCUGCCGCAAGGGGCGAAAGCCUGACGGAGCAACGCCGCGUGAGUGAUGAAGGUCUUCGGAUCGUAAAACUCUGUUAUUAGGGAAGAACAGAUAUGUAAGUAACUGUGCACAUCGUGACGGUACCUAAUCAGAAAGCCACGGCUAACUACGUG
rnacentral:rRNA from 1 species